UACGUAGGGGGGCAAGCGUUGUCCGGAAUCAUUGGGCGUAAAGCGCGUGUAGGCGGCCCGGUAAGUCCGCUGUGAAAGUCCAGGGCUCAACCCUGGAAUGCCGGUGGAUACUGUCGGGCUCGAGUCCGGAAGAGGCGAGUGGAAUUCCUGGUGUAGCGGUGAAAUGCGCAGAUAUCAGGAGGAACACCGAUGGCGAAGGCAGCUCGCUGGGACGGUACUGACGCUGAGACGCGAAAGCGUGGGGAGCAAACAGG
rnacentral:rRNA from 1 species